rnacentral:rRNA from 1 species
UACGAAGGGUGCAAGCGUUACUCGGAAUUACUGGGCGUAAAGCGUGCGUAGGUGGUUUGUUAAGUCUGUUGUGAAAGCCCCGGGCUCACCCUGGGAAUGGCAAUGGAUACUGGCAAGCUAGAGUGCGGUAGAGGGUAGUGGAAUUCCCGGUGUAGCGGUGAAAUGCGUAGAGAUCGGGAGGAACAUCAGUGGCGAAGGCGGUCUUCUGGACCAGUACUGACGCUGAGGCACGAAAGCGUGGGGAGCAAACAGG